UUUGAAAUGGGUUCUAUUCCCAAACCGUGUAUACAUACCUUUGUUGCUUUGGCAGGCCGCCUUUUAGGCGUCGGCUCCGGCUGACUGCGCCUGCCAGAGGACCCAAACUCGUUUGUUUAGUGAUGUCUGAGUACUAUAUAAUAGUUAAAACUUUCAACAACGGAUCUCUUGGUUCUGGCAUCGAUGAAGAACGCAGCGAAAUGCGAUAAGUAAUGUGAAUUGCAGAAUUCAGUGAAUCAUCGAAUCUUUGAACGCACAUUGCGCCCCUUGGUAUUCCGAGGGGCAUGCCUGUUCGAGCGUCAUUAUAACCACUCAAGCCUCGGCUUGGUCUUGGGGUUCGCGGUCUCGCGGCCCUUAAAAUCAGUGGCGGUGCCGUCUGGCUCUAAGCGUAGUAAUGCUCUCGCUAUAGGGUCCCGGUGGUUACCUGCCAGAACCCCCCAUUUUUUACGGUUGAACCUCGGAUAGGUAGGGAUACCC
rnacentral:rRNA from 1 species